rnacentral:tmRNA from 1 species
GGGGGCGACAGGCUUCGACAGGGGUACUGGCGGUCGACCGGAUGUCAUGCCGGGCUACUCUAUGCAGCUCGUUAAAAAGCGUAGGGAAAAAACAAUUGCCAAUAACAAUGAAUUGGCUCUCGCUGCCUAAUUAGGCUCGAGCGUCUCACCGCAAGUUGCUUAUGCGCGCGGAGGGAGAUGUCACGCAGAUAAGCUGGCCCAAUCUUUCGGUCCGUAGGGUUGGGCGAGACCAAAGUCGGACUAGCUCAUAUCGAGGUCUUGUCACUUCACUUACUCGAUAAUGAGCGAAACUUUGUCGCGUGUAAGCCUGGCAGAAAAGAGAAGUGAAUAAGCAUGUAGAGUCUUUCGACGUUGUCUCUUGGAUCCGAGUUCAAUUCUCGGCGCCUCCACCA